GUUAACGGCGUUUGGAAUCUUUUAGGGAGUUUCAAAGCGGUGCCUACUAAAUAAAAGGAGAUCUCUUUGCUCUAUGUUGUUUUUGGUACAAGGGCUUCAAGAUUUUUGAGAGAUUCUUCUCACGGAACAUGAAUCUGUAUCAUUACGCUACGGAUCAAUGCUAUUUUGUGUCGGACGAGUCGGGACACAUUUGACCAAGGAGAUUGUGAGGAAGAUCUAAAUGUUGGUUACAGAUAUCCUGCCAUCAAACCACAGGAUGAUCUUAAGAAUUGUAGCUAGAGAAGAGUUUGACCGUGGCUGGUAUGACCAUUUGAAGAAUUUAUCUUCAUUGGAAGUGUUAAAGAUCUUCGCGUCCACGGAACUUGAAGAUAGGUCCAAAUCCUUUCACUCUUUGAGACUUUCUGUAUGUUUACGGCAAUUAUCUCACUUGACUUUCUCCUUGACACCAAUAGCAACAACUUUCAACACCCUUGCGUCUCAAACAAAGAACAUUACUCGGUGGUACAAGAAUCUGUCAAUAACUCUGCGUUGAAUCAGUUGAUGCAAAUUAAGGAGCUUUAUGGUUAUGAUCAGAAUAACAUGUGAUGUCACCAACAUCAACGUUCUAGAGAUCAUUGUCUCCCCAAACACAGUUUCAGAUGACUUCUGUUGUGAUUUUCCUUAUAUAGAAACACCAGCUUCUCUCAAGAUAUUUUCCAGACAUGUUUUCAAACUACAUUCUUUCUGACAACUCGUGAUUUCUCUAAAACAAAAACAAGCAAACUGUCCACAAUUCGGAGAAAAAUAAAACUACCUCAUCAAUGGUGAAGUAGCUUAUUAAAGAGAGUGAAUCUACGGAGCCAGAAAAUGAUACCCUUUUGCUUUUGGUCUCCACAACAAACUUGCGUAGGGAAGACGGAUUGAUGAUCGGAUCGGUCAGGUAUUGUGAAGGAUACUAUCGGUGAUUGUCUUCAGGAUAUGGCUACAUU